GCUGACCUGGUCCUUGAUGUGCUGCCUGCUUCUGCUACUGAUCCAUACUGCAGAACUUCUCAUUCAUCCCCAAGGCCUCCAAGCAAUGUCCAAUAGGGAAUCGACUCUAAAAGGAACCAGACCAACGUUUCCAGCCCCUUCAUUCUGGAGACUUCUUGGACUGGAGACACUUGUUUAAUAAUAGCUUGUCUCCGAUAUUCCCAGUAGCUACCUCUCUGUGAGGAAAGGAUAGCAAACGUUAAGGACAUCAUCACACAAAGUUCCAGUAGCAGUGACGCCUACACGGAAGACUUGGAACUGCAAACAGAGGCUGGGGUCACCUCAGUGACAUCUGACGCCGUCCAACCACAAGUUCGAAUUUUGUUUUGUGGGGUGAGGAAGCAGACUGUACUAAAGGACUAAAAUUAUUUCUUGUCUGUACUUUCUCACUUUUGUUUUUAUUUUUUAAUUUUUUUGGCGGGAAGAGAGGGAAGUUCGGGUAAAAAUUUCAUAUCCUAUCUGGAGUUAAGGGGAGGAUGGGAAAGCUCAGCCCUUCACCCAAGAAUAAGCCAGUAAUGACAUCUCAACGCGUGGGAAGUGUUUCCCUCAGCUGGGAGGAUCUGAGGCUGCACCCCAGUGGGAUUCCUUGCUAGAGUUGGAAGGCCACUCAGAGGCAGACGCAUAUUGUAGCAGGCGGAGGGUUUAGCUGGCUGGGGAUGAAGUAUCAGAGGGGAGGGACAUUCGAAGUCCUAGGGGCUUCCCCCAAUUUAGAGGCGCGGGCUGUGCUAUGCAUAUGGGACUGAGAAGCCGGGUGACCGCCGUGGCCUGUGCUUUCCGCUGAGGGUCUGACAAGCACGCGACGCUGCUGGGCAUCAGCGUUUGAGUCCCGGGAGACCGCCCAGCCGUGCCCAGCGAGACCGCGCCAGACCCUGGCGUCCUCCAUCUUCUCUCCUGCGCUCCCCCUGCUCCAGCUGCCUGAGCCGCGGACCGCAGCACCACACACCCCCGCGGGGGGGGACGCCGCGCCCCAUCCCCGCCCCCGGCCCCAC
rnacentral:lncRNA from 1 species